rnacentral:rRNA from 1 species
CGAGGGGCAGCGGGGGAGUAGCAAUACUCCCGCCGGCGACCGGCGCACGGGUGAGUAACACGUAUGAAACCUGCCCGUAGCAGGGGGAUAAGCGGAAGAAAUUCCGUCUAAUACCGCGUAACAACCCAUGGAGGCAUCUCCGUGGGUUUAAAGGAAGCGAUUCCGGCUACGGAUGGUCAUGCGUCGCAUUAGCUUGUUGGCGGGGUAACGGCCCACCAAGGCGACGAUGCGUAGGGGUUCUGAGAGGAAGGUCCCCCACACUGGUACUGAGACACGGACCAGACUCCUACGGGAGGCAGCAGUGAGGAAUAUUGGUCAAUGGCCGCAGGGCUGAACCAGCCAAGUCGCGUGAGGGAUGACGGUCCUAUGGAUUGUAAACCUCUUUUGUCAGGGAGCAAAGGGCGCCACGUGUGGCGUUUUGCGAGUACCUGAAGAAAAAGCAUCGGCUAACUCCGUGCCAGCAGCCGCGGUAAUACGGAGGAUGCGAGCGUUAUCCGGAUUUAUUGGGUUUAAAGGGUGCGCAGGCGGAAUGUCAAGUCAGCGGUAAAAUUUCGGGGCUCAACCCCGUCGUGCCGUUGAAACUGGCGUUCUUGAGUGAGCGAGAAGUAUGCGGAAUGCGUGGUGUAGCGGUGAAAUGCAUAGAUAUCACGCAGAACUCCGAUUGCGAAGGCAGCAUACCGGCGCUCAACUGACGCUCAUGCACGAAAGCGUGGGUAUCGAACAGGAUUAGAUACCCUGGUAGUCCACGCAGUAAACGAUGAAUACUAACUGUCCGGGCAGAAUGAUGCCUGGGUGGUACAGCGAAAGCGUUAAGUAUUCCACCUGGGGGGUACGCC